rnacentral:rRNA from 1 species
GAUGAACGCUGGCGGCGUGCCUAAUACAUGCAAGUCGAGCGCGAGAGUGAGGAGCUUGCUCCUCAUAAUCGAGCGGCGGACGGGUGAGUAACACGUAGGCAACCUACCCUUGAGAUUGGGAUAACUACCGGAAACGGUAGCUAAUACCGGAUACGACUUUUCCACACAAGUGGAAUGGUUAAAAGGCGGAUUUAUCUGCCGCUCAUGGAUGGGCCUGCGGUGCAUUAGCUAGUUGGUGAGGUAGUGGCUCACCAAGGCGACGAUGCAUAGCCGACCUGAGAGGGUGAUCGGCCACACUGGGACUGAGACACGGCCCAGACUCCUACAGGAGGCAGCAGUAGGGAAUCUUCCGCAAUGGACGCAAGUCUGACGGAGCAACGCCGCGUGAGUGAUGAAGGGUUUCGGCUCGUAAAACUCUGUUGUUAAGGAAGAACACUUGAGGUAGUAACUGGCCUUGAGAUGACGGUACUUAACCAGAAAGCCACGGCUAACUACGUGCCAGCCGCCGCGGUAA